AUUGAACGCUGGCGGAAUGCUUUACACAUGCAAGUCGAACGGCAGCACGGGGGCAACCCUGGUGGCGAGUGGCGAACGGGUGAGUAACACAUCGGAACGUGCCCAGUCGUGGGGGAUAACGUAGCGAAAGCUACGCUAAUACCGCAUACGAACUCUGGUUGAAAGCGGGGGACCUGCAAGGGCCUCGCGCGAUUGGAGCGGCCGAUGGCAGAUUAGGUAGUUGGUGGGGUAAAGGCUCACCAAGCCGACGAUCUGUAGCUGGUCUGAGAGGACGACCAGCCACACUGGGACUGAGACACGGCCCAGACUCCUACGGGAGGCAGCAGUGGGGAAUUUUGGACAAUGGGCGCAAGCCUGAUCCAGCCAUUCCGCGUGCAGGAUGAAGGCCCUCGGGUUGUAAACUGCUUUUGUACGGAACGAAACGCGCUGAGUUAAUACCUCGGCGUAAUGACGGUACCGUAAGAAUAAGCACCGGCUAACUACGUGCCAGCAGCCG
rnacentral:rRNA from 1 species